ensembl:misc_RNA 7SK 7SK RNA
GGGUGUGAGGGCGAUCUGGCCGCGACAUCUGUCAUUGAUGGCCAGGGCUCAUCUGGCUCAUCUGGCUGACGAGGCUGGUGUCCCCUUCCUCGCUGCUCCAUGUGCGUCCUUCCCGAAGCUGCAUGCUCCGUCCAAGAGGUUGACCCUCCCCAAAGAGAGGCAGACGGGUCUUCCGUCAAGGGUAUAUGGGUAGCUGUGCUCCCCUGCUGGAACCUUCAGAUAAACUGAAGGUCCAUUUAUAAACACAUGGAAAUAAUCAGUUUUCUCCAAAAGGACAACAGUUUAGCUGUUUUAGUUUUUCUUU